UACGUAGGGGGCGAGCGUUGUCCGGAGUUAUUGGGCGUAAAGCGCGCGCAGGCGGUCUAGCCAGUCUGGAGUGACAGUUCCCGGCUCACCUGGGAAAGGUCUUCGGAAACUGCUAGACUUGAGGGACUCAGAGGGAGACGGAAUUCCAGGUGGAGCGGUGAAAUGCGUAGAGAUCUGGAGGAACACCAAAGGCGAAGGCAGUCUCCUGGGAGUUACCUGACGCUCAGGCGCGAAAGCCAGGGGAGCGAACGGGAUUAGAUACCCCGGUAGUCCUGGCCGUAAACGAUGACCACCAGGCGUGGGGGGGAUCGACCCUCUCCGUGCCGGCGCUAACGCUUUGAGUGGUCCGCCUGGGGAGUACGGUCGCAAGAUUAAA
rnacentral:rRNA from 1 species